UACGGAGGGUGCAAGCGUUGUCCGGAUUUAUUGGGUUUAAAGGGUGCGUAGGUGGCUUGUUAAGUCCGGGGUGAAAGCCCACAGCUCAACUGUGGAACUGCCCUGGAUACUGGCGAGCUUGAGUCCAGACGAGGUUGGCGGAAUGGAAGCUGUAGCGGUGAAAUGCAUAGAUAGCUUCCAGAACCCCGAUUGCGUAGGCAGCUGACUAGGCUGGUACUGACACUGAGGCACGAAAGCGUGGGGAGCAAACAGG
rnacentral:rRNA from 1 species